UGGAGGACCGAACCGACUAAUGUUGAAAAAUUAGCGGAUGACUUGUGGCUAGGGGUGAAAGGCCAAUCAAACUCGGAGAUAGCUGGUUCUCCCCGAAAGCUAUUUAGGUAGCGCCUCGGACGAAUACUACUGGGGGUAGAGCACUGUUAAGGCUAGGGGGUCAUCCCGACUUACCAACCCUUUGCAAACUCCGAAUACCAGUAAGUACUAUCCGGGAGACACACGGCGGGUGCUAACGUCCGUCGUGGAGAGGGAAACAACCCAGACCGCCAGCUAAGGUCCCAAAUGAUUACUAAGUGGGAAACGAUGUGGGAAGGCUCAGACAGCUAGGAUGUUGGCUUAGAAGCAGCCAUCAUUUAAAGAAAGCGUAAUAGCUCACUAGUCGAGUCGGCCUGCGCGGAAGAUGUAACGGGGCUAAGUAAUCAACCGAAGCUGCGGCAAUGCAAUUUAUUGCAUUGGGUAGGGGAGCGUUCUGUAAGCCGUUGAAGGUGUGUUGUAAAGCAUGCUGGAGGUAUCAGAAGUGCGAAUGCUGACAUGAGUAACGAUAAAGGGGGUGAAAAACCUCCUCGCCGGAAGACCAAGGGUUCCUGUCCAACGUUAAUCGGGGCAGGGUGAGUCGACCCCUAAGGCGAGGCCGAAAGGCGUAGUCGAUGGGAAACGGGUUAAUAUUCCCGUACUUCUUACAAUUGCGAUGGGGGGACGGAGAAGGCUAGGUGGGCCUGGCGACGGUUGUCCAGGUUCAAGUGCGUAGGCUUGAGAGUUAGGUAAAUCCGGCUCUCUUUAAGGCUGAGACACGAUGUCGAGCUACUACGGUAGUGAAGUCAUUGAUGCCAUGCUUCCAGGAAAAGCCUCUAAGCUUCAGAUUGUAAGGAAUCGUACCCCAAACCGACACAGGUGGUCGGGUAGAGAAUACCAAGGCGCUUGAGAGAACUCGGGUGAAGGAACUAGGCAAAAUGGUACCGUAACUUCGGGAGAAGGUACGCUCUUGACGGUGAAGUCCCUUGCGGAUGGAGCUGAUGAGAGUCGCAGAUACCAGGUGGCUGCAACUGUUUAUUAAAAACACAGCACUGUGCAAAAUCGUAAGAUGACGUAUACGGUGUGACGCCUGCCCGGUGCCGGAAGGUUAAUUGAUGGGGUUAGACUUCGGUCGAAGCUCUUGAUCGAAGCCCCGGUAAACGGCGGCCGUAACUAUAACGGUCCUAAGGUAGCGAAAUUCCUUGUCGGGUAAGUUCCGACCUGCACGAAUGGCGUAAUGAUGGCCACGCUGUCUCCACCCGAGACUCAGUGAAAUUGAAAUCGCUGUGAAGAUGCAGUGUACCCGCGGCUAGACGGAAAGACCCCGUGAACCUUUACUACAGCUUGGCACUGAACAUUGAACCUACAUGUGUAGGAUAGGUGGGAGGCUUUGAAGCGCAGACGCUAGUUUGUGUGGAGCCGUCCUUGAAAUACCACCCUUGUAUGUUUGAUGUUCUAACUCAGACCCGUUAUCCGGGUCGAGGACAGUGCCUGGUGGGUAGUUUGACUGGGGCGGUCUCCUCCCAAAGAGUAACGGAGGAGCACGAAGGUGGGCUAAACACGGUUGGACAUCGUGUGGUUAGUGCAAUGGCAUAAGCCCGCUUGACUGCGAGAAUGACAAUUCGAGCAGGUGCGAAAGCAGGUCAUAGUGAUCCGGUGGUUCUGAAUGGAAGGGCCAUCGCUCAACGGAUAAAAGGUACUCCGGGGAUAACAGGCUGAUACCGCCCAAGAGUUCAUAUCGACGGCGGUGUUUGGCACCUCGAUGUCGGCUCAUCACAUCCUGGGGCUGAAGUCGGUCCCAAGGGUAUGGCUGUUCGCCAUUUAAAGUGGUACGCGAGCUGGGUUUAGAACGUCGUGAGACAGUUCGGUCCCUAUCUGCCGUGGGCGUUGGAGAAUUGAAGGGGGCUGCUCCUAGUACGAGAGGACCGGAGUGGACGAACCUCUGGUGUUCGGGUUGUUACGCCAGUAGCAUUGCCCGGUAGCUAAGUUCGGAAUUGAUAACCGCUGAAAGCAUCUAAGCGGGAAGCAAGCCCUGAGAUGAGUUCUCCCUGGC
rnacentral:rRNA from 1 species